AUGCGCUGGCCAGAUGUGACUGGUGCCCUCCGAGCAGGGCUGCACACGUGUGCACGUGCGUCACUGGCACCGCGUUGUGGAGGGGCUGAGGUUGCCUUGACUACGACGCUAAGUGUGCGUGGGGGGAUGCAGGUCGCCCGGGGCCGUGAGCUGACGCAGUGGGGACUGCGGGGCUGUGAGGCUGGGAGGGCCCGGCCAGUCCUGCCUCUGCACUGCGCCACAGGUGCGGCUCCGGCAGCCUUCCCAGGACGUGCUCCACUUACAGCAGGAAGCCCUCCUAUAUCAUCCUGUAGCCCCAGGCCAGCGCAAGAGCCAGUGUCCGUCAUCUCCUUGACCAGGAAGGACCGUUAGACGUCUUAAAAUAGGUGCAGGUGAGUUUUUCUUUUUCUUUUUAAUUAGGUGGUUUUGCCUCAUAUAUCUUAAUAUGACAUUUGAGGUGUAGAUCCCACACUAGAGAAAAGGUGUUUAUUUUGAAGGUAACACGGGUAUCAUAGGAGACAAAGAUGUAUGCAUGAACCCAGGGUUGUGUCACUUUGGGCAAAAUGGCACAAUUCUCUGCUGCAUCUGGGUUUUAAUUAAAAAAUGUAAGAACGGUAUUUGAGUAGAGAGAGUUCCAGACAUAUUAAUGGCUCUUUCUACCUUUUGAGUUUUGGAAAAACUGGGUUGUUACGAAGAGAGGAUAUAUUAAUACACUUACAACCCCGUGUAGCAGCGUCCUAGAGCACUCAGUGCUCUAAGAAGCACUCAACUGGUCGUCAUGUGGUAAGCCUGGAUAUUCACAAAUCACAAACAGCAUACAUACACAGGUAACGGUGAUGGGAACUAACCCACUUACAAAAAGAACAGAGCUUCAAAUGGUCCAAACAGUAACCCAAGCUGAGCAUAGUAGCACACAUCUGUAUUCCCAGCUUUAUAGAAGCUGACACAGGAGAACCACUGGGCGGUUGAGGACAGCCUGGGCUACAUAGUGAAACACUCUCAAAAAAAUAAAAUUAAACCAGGUGUGGUGUUGCAGAUCUGUAAUCCCAGCAUUUGGGAGGUUAGAGGAGAAUUGGGAGUUGGAGGCCAACCUGGAAGAUUUGCCUCUUUAAAAAAAAUAAAAAAAAAAAUCCACUCCUCCCACUUCUAAGCACAUAUGUGUUUUGUUUCUGGAGUAUUGCAUCCUAGUUACUCAUGUCAAUUCACAAAAGGAUCCAGUAUUAGUUUGUAAAAGGAAUCCGAAGUCUAGGGAUGCAGGCUUGAAGAGCACAAGCUUAACCAUAAAAAUAGGAAGUGUGCUUGCUAGCAUUUACCUGCAAUCCCAACACUCUGGGAGUCUAGGCCAGAGAAUUGCCACAAUUUCAAAGCCAGCCUGGGCUACUCAGUGAGUACUAGACCGACCAGGGUAAUUUAUGGAGAGACCCUGUCUAAAAAUAUAAACAAACAUGGAGUGGGGCUACAGCUGUGGCUCAGUGGUGGAGCACUUACCUAGUAUGUGCCAGGCCCUGGGCUUAAACCCCAGAACUACAAAGAAAAAAAAAAAAAUAGAUGUGUAAUAUUCUUUAUCUCUUAUAGUAACAGCUAAGAUAUUAAUCAUUACAUAUUGCUGCAUGCUUUAGAUAGAUUAUCUUACUUAAAUUGAGAUAGCCACACCUUACAAUCUUUCUAUUCCAAUUUUAGCAGGAAGGAAACAGACACAAUGAGGUUAGUAACUGUCACUCAAGCUCUGACAUUCACUAUGGUAGGGGCUCCGGCACAUUAGUGUGAUUGACUAAUGGACUGCACGGUUAAUCUCAGUCUCCAGGUCAGUGGUUACGGAGUGACCCAAGACCAUCAUCCCGAAUCACCAGGUUGUUCUUUCCAGAGUGGUCAGCCCCCACCUGAAGCAAAGAAAGGCAUUCCAAUAAGGUAAGGUAUCGAUUACCUCUCAGAGGUGAUCUGAGGGCAAAGACUUUGGGGAACAAAACGA
ensembl:lincRNA